rnacentral:rRNA from 1 species
GAUGAACGCUAGCGGCAGGCUUAACACAUGCAAGUCGAGGGGUAGAGGAAGCUUGCUUCCUUGAGACCGGCGCACGGUGCGUAACGCGUAUGCAAUCUACCUUAUACAGGGGGAUAGCCCAGAGAAAUUUGGAUUAAUACCCCAUAGUAUAAUUGAAUGGCAUCAUUUAAUUAUUAAAGUUCCAACGGUAUAAGAUGAGCAUGCGUCCAUUAGCUAGUUGGUGUGGUAACGGCACACCAAGGCGACGAUGGGUAGGGGUCCUGAGAGGGAGAUCCCCCACACUGGUACUGAGACACGGACCAGACUCCUACGGGAGGCAGCAGUGAGGAAUAUUGGUCAAUGGGCGCAAGCCUGAACCAGCCAUGCCGCGUGCAGGAUGACGGUCCUAUGGAUUGUAAACUGCUUUUGUACAGGAAGAAACACUCCCUCGUGAGGGAGCUUGACGGUACUGUAAGAAUAAGGAUCGGCUAACUCCGUGCCAGCAGCCGCGGUAAU